ACCCGCUGAACUUAAGCAUAUCAAUAAGCGGAGGAAAAGAAACCAACAGGGAUUGCCCUAGUAACGGCGAGUGAAGCGGCAACAGCUCAAAUUUGAAAUCUGGCUCUUUUAGAGUCCGAGUUGUAAUUUGCAGAGGGCGCUUUGGCGUUGGCAGCGGUCCAAGUUCUUUGGAACAGGACGUCACAGAGGGUGAGAAUCCCGUACGUGGUCGCUGGCUAUUGCCGUGUAAAGCCCCUUCGACGAGUCGAGUUGUUUGGGAAUGCAGCUCUAAAUGGGAGGUACAUUUCUUCUAAAGCUAAAUAUUGGCCAGAGACCGAUAGCGCACAAGUAGAGUGAUCGAAAGAUGAAAAGCACUUUGGAAAGAGAGUCAAACAGCACGUGAAAUUGUUGAAAGGGAAGCGCUUGCAGCCAGACUUGCUUACAGUUGCUCAUCCGGGCUUUUGCCCGGUGCACUCUUCUGUAGGCAGGCCAGCAUCAGUUUGGGCGGUAGGAUAAAGGUCUCUGUCACGUACCUCUCUUCGGGGAGGCCUUAUAGGGGAGACGACAUACUACCAGCCUGGACUGAGGUCCGCGCAUCUGCUAGGAUGCUGGCGUAAUGGCUGU
rnacentral:rRNA from 1 species